rnacentral:lncRNA from 1 species
GUAUCCAGCAUCAACAACUAAGAAUCUGCUAAGCAGCAAAUGGGUUGUUUUUGUGGCUAGAAUUGUGUUUGCUUGAGGUGAAGGAAGGAUGGCUGAAUAAAGGAGACAUAACUUGGCCUGGAGCUUUCUAUUUCUGCCUUGCAGUUCCAAUGUCUCCGGUUGCAAUGCAUGUACUGUGGUUUCCACUUCAGCUACUUAUCUAAAGCUGAGUCCUAAUCCUGUCCAAGCUGAUGGCAGAGCUCCCGCUGGCAAUGGGAGGAGCAGGCUGGAUCAGCGGAGACUGUUUUGGGAGUUCUGUUGUGGAACAUGAGUUAUAUUUAUGUUUUGUUUGUUCUGCCCAUCAGGGUCUUCAGACUGGUGUUUCUGCACCCUUUCCAGGCCAUGGUACCAGAAUUACAGAUCCUGGGCAUUAGUGAACUCCCAUGGAAGGAUUUUUCUGUCAGAAGAUGCCUGUAGCCUGGUGAUGACAACUCACUCCUGCUCUUCUCCUACCUGACAAGGAAUUGAGAAGUUUUCAGAAGCUGUUUAAGUUUUGUAUCUACCAAGGAGUCUAAGCAUGAAAUGCCAGUGCACAUGGUCUUUCCAUGAAGCUCUUGCCUUUCCUGCAGGAACAGCAGCUUGGCAACAGUUCGUGUUGAUAUUGGAUGAAUCUAAGAAAUAUUGCCAAACUCAGUCAAAAGAGAGAGGAGGAGUGAAGAAGCCUAGUGAACAGUCAUCAAAGAGAAGAGUACAGCCAGACAGACCUGCAGAGGAAGUAAGGUGAUAGAGGUACAUUGCUUUAUUUCAACUAAACAUCUGUGUAUUCUCACCCUUACACGCUCUGUUACUGUGCAAGGGACUAGAAGGAUUUCUUCAAUGAUGCUCUUUACCUUUGUUCUUUAGGAUUUGAACCGAUAAAUUCUUUGAAAGCAAUUUUAACAUUUCACAUAGAAAUUUCAUACAGCCUUCUCAAUUUUAGCGAAGAGAAUUUGCUUUGCAAUGUCAGCUUUAAACUCCUAAAUUGUGUAAAGCCUCUAGAACCAUCUAUUGUUAACACAUGUAGAGCUUCCACCUGCUUAUUUCCUCAUAUUCCACAUUAGAUUUUUACCAGCCAGAUACUGUGUUAGCUCCUUUCUGUUUCCUGGGG